GGAAUAUUGGGCAAUGGAGGCAACUCUGACCCAGCAACGCCGCGUGAACGAUGAAGGUCUUCGGAUUGUAAAGUUCUGUCGCAGGGGACGAAGUAUGACGGUACCCUGUAAGAAAGCCCCGGCAAACUACGUGCCAGCAGCCGCGGUAAUACGUAGGGGGCUAGCGUUGUCCGGAAUUACUGGGCGUAAAGGGAGUGUAGACGGCUUGGCAAGUUAUAAGUGAAAGCCUGCGGCUCAACCGCAGAACUGCUUAUAAAACUGCCUCGCUAGAGUGCAGGAGAGGUGAGUGGAAUUCCUAGUGUAGCGGUGGAAUGCGUAGAUAUUAGGAGGAACACCAGAGGCGAAGGCGGCUCACUGGACUGUAACUGACGUUGAGGCUCGAAAGCGUGGGGAGCAAACAGGAUUAGAUAUCCUGGUAGUCCACGCCCUAAACGAUGGAUACUAGACGAAGGUGGCUUGCCCAUCUGUGUCGUAGCUAACGCAUUAAGUAUCCCGCCUGUGGAGUACGGCCGCAAGGUUAAAACAUAAAGAAAUUGACGGGUCCCCGCACAAGCAGCGGAGCAUGUGGUUUAAUUCGAUGCAACGCGAAGAACCUUACCAAGACUUGACAUUGCGUGACAGCCUGUGAAAGCAGGCCUCCCUUCGGGGCACAAAAACAGAUGGUGCAUGGUCGUCGUCAGCUCGUGCCGUGAGGUGUUCGGUUAAGUCCGUCAACGAGCGCAACCCUUAUUUCCAGUUGCCAAUAUUAAGUUAGGGACUCUGGAAAGACUGCCGUGGAUAACACGGAGGAAGGUGGGGAUGAUGUCAGAUCAUCAUGCCUCUUACGUCUUGGGCUACACACGUGCUACAAUGGGCGCUACAAAGAGCUGCAGAGCCGUAAGGCCGAGCCAAUCUCAAAAAAGCGUUCUCAGUUCGGAUUGUGGGCUGCAACCCGCCCACAUGAAGUUGGAGUUGCUAGUAAUCCCGGAUCAGCACGCCGGGGUGAAUGCGUUCCCGGGGAUUGUACACACCGCCCGUCAAGCCAUGGGAGCUGGGGGUACUCGAAGUCGGUCACGCCAACCCGCAAGGGAAGCGUCCGCCUAAGGUAAAACCAGUGACUGGGGUUAAGUCGUAACAAGGUAGCCCUACGAGAACGUGGGGCUGGAUCACCUCCUUU
rnacentral:rRNA from 1 species